GAUGAACGCUGGCGGCGUGCCUAAUACAUGCAAGUCGAGCGAACAGAUAAGGAGCUUGCUCCUUUGACGUUAGCGGCGGACGGGUGAGUAACACGUGGGUAACCUAUCUAUAAGACUGGAAUAACUCCGGGAAACCGGGGCUAAUGCCGGAUAACAUGUUGAACCGCAUGGUUCUACAGUGAAAGGCGGCUUUGCUGUCACUUAUAGAUGGACCCGCGCCGUAUUAGCUAGUUGGUGAGGUAACGGCUCACCAAGGCAACGAUACGUAGCCGACCUGAGAGGGUGAUCAGCCACACUGGAACUGAGACACGGUCCAGACUCCUACGGGAGGCAGCAGUAGGGAAUCUUCCGCAAUGGGCGAAAGCCUGACGGAGCAAUGCCGCGUGAGUGAUGAAGGUCUUCGGAUCGUAAAACUCUGUUAUUAGGGAAGAACAAAUGCGUAAGUAACUGUGCGCGUCUUGACGGUACCUAAUCAGAAAGCCACGGCUAACUACGUG
rnacentral:rRNA from 1 species